AUAAGAGGUCCCGCCUGCCCUGUGACUAUAAGUUUAACGGCCGCGGUAUUUUAACCGUGCGAAGGUAGCGUAAUCACUUGUCUUUUAAAUGAAGACCUGUAUGAAUGGCAUCACGAGGGCUUAGCUGUCUCCCAUCUCCAGUCAAUGAAAUUGACCUCCCCGUGCAGAGGCGGGGAUAAUUACAUAAGACGAGAAGACCCUAUGGAGCUUUAGACCUAAAGUAAGUCACGUUUAACAUGCUGUGAUAACAGUAAAAACUUAGUGAUAUUUACUGAAGUGUCUUUGGUUGGGGCGACCGCGGGGUAAAACACAACCCCCAUGUGGACCGGGGAUAUUAUCCCUAAUACUCAGAGCCUCUACUCCAAGUAACAGAAAUUCUGACUUUUCUGAUCCGGUAUAACCGAUCAACGAACCGAGUUACCCUAGGGAUAACAGCGCAAUCCCCUCUCAGAGCCCAUAUCGACGAGGGGGUUUACGACCUCGAUGUUGGAUCAGGACAUCCUAAUGGUGCAGCCGCUAUUAAGGGUUCGUUUGUUCAACGAUUAAAGUCC
rnacentral:rRNA from 1 species